AGUGAACGCUGGCGGUGGGCCUAACACAUGCAAGUCGAACGGCAGCACAGUAAGAUCUUGCUCUUACGGGUGGCGAGUGGCGGACGGGUGACGAAUACAUCGGAAUCUACUUUUUCGUGGGGGAUAACGUAGGUAAACUUACGCUAAUACCGCAUAUGACCUACGGGUGAAAGCAGGGGAUCUUCUGACCUUGCGCGAUUGAAUGAGCCGAUGUCGGAUUAGCUAGUUGGCGGGGUAAAGGCCCACCAAGGCGACGAUACGUAGCUGGUCUGAGAGGAUGAUCGGCCACACUGGAACUGAGACACGGUCCAGACUCCUACGGGAGGCAGCAGUGGGGAAUAUUGGGCAAUGGGCGCAAGCCUGAUCCAGCCAUACCGCGUGGGUGAAGAAGGCCUUCGGGUUGUAAAGCCCUUUUGUUGGGAAAGAAAAGCAGCAGGUUAAUACCCCGCUGUUCUGACGGUACCCAAAGAAUAAGCACCGGCUAACUUCGUG
rnacentral:rRNA from 1 species